GAGAAACUCUCCUGCCCAGUGACCUGCGAUAAACGGAAGCGCCUCCUGCGAGACCAGACCGGGGGAGUCCUGGUCGUGGAGCUCUCCCUGCGGAGCAGGGGAUUUUCCAGUCUCUAUAGCUUCUCAGCACACCUGAGUGGCGCAGAGGGGGCGAGAUCAAGAGGUCUCCCUCUGACCAGCCCCUGAACUCUGAAGAGAGGGAGGAACCGAAGGUAAAUCGGAUGAAGCAGAACUGGACCUCACUUCCCCAAGUCUUAGUAAAGCCAUCCCCAGAUGGCUUCCCUUGGAUUCCAACAUUUACAGAACAAGAUUUUCAGUGAUCUGUUCAUUCAACAAAUAUUUGAAUUCUU
rnacentral:lncRNA from 1 species